UGAAAUAUUGAAAAAUUCUCCAUUAGAUGAAAAUUAACAAUAAUUUAAUUUCGUGGGAUAAAAAGCCCAAAAACGUGACCAAAGUACUAAAAAGUGACAUUUUUAUUUUUUUGCACAGUUUUUUCAAUUGCAAAUAUAUCGUAAACUAAAAAAGAUAAACAAGAACGCAUUUCAAAUUCUUAAUCUUCGGAGAAUUCUUUAUAAGAUAAGCUUGUUAAAUGAAUUACAUUAAUUAAAUUAUAUUAAUUUGUAAAUUAUUACAUCAGCUUGUAAACUAUGAAAAUAUUUGGUAUUGAAAUUUGAAAUUUAUCACUGCACUACCUGAUUUGAAUAUUUUACGAAUAAGAAUUUACAUAAUGUAUAAGAUAAUGCUUUACAAAUUUGGUAUAAAUACCCGCAAGUUUUCCUUGGCAAAGUAUCAGUUUGUUCGAUUAUACAAACAGCAACAAAUCAAAUCAAAAUGAAAUUCAUCCUUGUUUUGUGCGCUUUGGUAGUUGUGGCCUCUGCCACCCCAUAUUACAUUGGUUCUGACGAAGAGAUCCCAGCUGAUAUGCCAUCAAUGGAAGAUCACAGCAUCACAACUGCCACACCCGCUAAUGUUAUUUUGCCCGCCAAUAUCGCUGUUGAUGCCAUUCCCAAUGCACCAACUGGCCCCAAGAGUGGAUAAAUUUAUCAAUUUACCAAAAAUAAUUGAUUGCAUGUUAUGAUUAAGAUGAUUCCGAUAAUAUAUUAAUAAAAUAUUUCUGCAUA